UUGCCUCUCCUGUGUGGAACCUUCACAUUAUGAGAAGUUGGGGUGAGGGAUAUUGGGACCUCAUUUUUCUUGGUCUGCGGUGCCUGUGGUAGAGUCUCUGCCUUAUGAAUGAGCACCGGGUGGGAGAAUGGAACCUGAGACAUCUUGGCCAAACCCACCUGCAAUUGAGCCUCUGAGAAGCAGAGCAUAGGAAGAUGAGAAAUUCUGGUAACCAGCUUUUCCUGAAUAUUGAAGAUGCCUGUUCUCAGUGGACUGCAACCUGAUCGCUUAAGAUUAUGGUCUUAAGAUACUAGUUUAUUUUCAGGGGGGAACCGUUGAUUCGUCUGCUGGUGGAAGUAUUCCUCUCCUAGAACUGAAAUAUUAAAGCAAUAGAGCUCUGUACUGGAAAAUGGAAAUUCUGUAGGAUGAAAAGCAAAAAUUCUGCAAAUGGAUUAUUAUUAUUGUAAUAGUGAGAGGAUUGACUAUAAGUUUCCCUGUUGAUUCUGGAACAUGAUAUUCUGGCUAUUGGAGAAAUGACGAUAAGUUUCCCUGUUGAUUCUUGAAUAUAAUAUUCUGGCUAUUGGAGAAAUGGUUUGACAAUUCAAAGCAAAUAUUGCACCUUCUAAAACUGCAUCCCAACUUCACAGGGCCUUGCCUCCUAACUGGCACUUUAACUAAAGCUUCAUUAGGUCAUUCCAUGAUUUUAUCAUGCCAGCUGCUUCUGAGUGAUGGGAUGCAUAGUAAGACCAGUGAAUUCAGUGAGUGUGAGUUCCUUGAAUGGAAGCAAUGUUGUGUGGAAUGGUGCUGAUAAAUAGGGCAUUCCUUAACUCCAUGGAGAGUGGCCCUAAUAGAAGGUUUGUGAGGAGAAAGUGACAAAUCCAUAUGCAAAAUACUUUUCUAUGAAUCCAUUCAUAAUAAAAGUGACAGUGUAACCAAGCAGGUAUUGAGUGACUGACUGGUCUGUUCAGGAUAUAGUGCCAUAUCAGAGUCUCAGCAUUGGCCUUUGAUGUUGGCAAGAUAGCACUCAGUGAUUGUAGAAACAAGAUGAAUAUUGAUUAGGGGAAGUAAAGGGCUUUCCUUACACUAAUGCAUUGAAAAAUUCAUGGUUAAGAAGUAGCAGCAUCCUUGAGAAGCUCUGCUAUCCUCUUAGGCAGCAAAAGAAAAUGGGAGACGAUGCUGCCACUGAAGUUAUGGAUGCAGGAGUGGCAGAAGCCAAGGUGGGGCGUGGAGGUGGAUCUUUACAGGAAUAAGCACCAGCUUCUAAGUCAGCUGCCUCAGAAGAAGUGAUUCCAGGAUGUGGUUCAUCAUUAUCAUAAUGGUCCCAAUGAAGCAUGCCAACCUGUAUUCAUCAUCUCUUGCAAUGUGAUGUUGCUAAUGCUUCCAACAGGUUUGACAAUUUUAUUUUUCAUCCCCUUAAAAUUGGACUGGCAUCAUGUCUCUUUUUGACAAAUAUAAUGCAGCAUAUUUGGUCUCGUGUUAGUUCUACAUCCUAAGCCUUAAGAAGCCUUUCAACUCUGUUCCAACUUUCCUGGGAUACUGAGACCACCAUGCUAACCCCAUCUAGGAUGAGAAACACAUGGAGAAGAACCUCAAUUCCCUAAAUGGCAGCCAGUGUCAACUUCCAGACACGUGAACGAGACAAUCUGGAUGCUCUAGUUUCGAGUCAUCAAAUGCUUGCAGCUGCAUGAGUGAUUCCUGUCAAGACUAAUACAGAUUGUUAUCCCACUAAAU